rnacentral:rRNA from 1 species
UACGUAGGGUGCGAGCGUUGUCCGGAAUUAUUGGGCGUAAAGAGCUCGUAGGCGGUUUGUUGCGUCUAUCGUGAAAACCUGCGGCUUAACUGUGGGCUUGCGGUGGAUACGGGCAGACUUGAGUUCGGUAGGGGAGACUGGAAUUCCUGGUGUAGCGGUGAAAUGCGCAGAUAUCAGGAGGAACACCGGUGGCGAAGGCGGGUCUCUGGGCCGAUACUGACGCUGAGGAGCGAAAGCGUGGGGGAGCAAACAGG